AAGGAUUAAUUUCAGUUUACCCCCGUGAGGUUUGGGGGUGUCAUCAUUUCACCCCCUCUAUUCUCAAUUUUGAAUUUUUACCCCCUGAGCUUUUCAAUUUACCUCAACCGUGUCCAAUGUCUCAUUUUCCGUCCAAAUUGGACGUUAACUCUGACUAUCAGACCCACUCCAAGGGCUAAAAUAGUCAUUUCAAGACAAUUUAAAAAAAAAAAAAAUCAUUUCUUCUUCUUGUCUCUCUCAUCUCCUCUAUUCUCUCUCUUUCUCACCGCCUCGCCACCACCAUGGUCCCCGACUAAGAUGACUCUCCUUUUCCUCCCUAGACGACGUCGUUGACGAGGACGACGAUGCCCAUCGCCAUAGCCACCGCUCCUCCCACCUUCACCGCCUCUCUUUCCUCAAUACCCAUCAAAGACUCUCCUUUUCCUCAACACCCAACUCGGUCCUACAACUCGUUCUGGCCAACCAGUGGUCCGCCGAGCUAGAGAGCGAGUUGUCCGAGUCACACCCAUCACACCAAAGGCUUCCAAUUUCUUCAAUUGGGUAUGUGAGAAAAAUGGGUUUAGGCCAAGCUCUUCGAUUUUUAGCCUCUGCCGUUGCAUUUUUGCUCCACCGCCAGCGCUGAAAGCUUGACCCCCCCCCCCCCCCCCCCCCUCGUCCGACAGCUCUUCUUCUUCUCAUAGCUGCUUCCAUCUCCGACGAACAAUCCGCUUUCUCCUUCCUCUCUCAGGUUAGGGAUCCCCGUGCUACUCACAAUUGCUGGGCAUACAAGGUGGGGGAUCAGUACCGGUCUAAUGAUGAUGGUGAGCCAUCUGGAAUGGCCGGGAAGCCCAUUCAUUCUGUUAUUGAGUCUUCAAGAAUUGAUAGAGUAAUGGUCGUCGUCAUCCGUUUAAGGAGUUUCAAGCAGGUUUUUGUGGAUUUUGGGCGGUGGGUUUGGUUUGGAAUUUUGGUUGGAGUUGAUUUCAGGUGGUGGAUGUUGAGGAUUUAGCUCUAGAGUACUUUGUUUUUGAUGGAGAGGGACGGAUCCACACCGAAGACGAGAAAGCAAUCGCUGGUGAGAUGAACAGAGGAGCUGAUGUCACAGCCUGAAUCGGAGGAGUCUUUGGGGCUGCCCAUCGGAGAUGAGAGAGACAAGAAGAAGAGGAUCGAAGGAAGAAGAAGAAAUGAAAUUUUUUUUUUUUUUAAAUUUUUUGUCUCGAAAUGAUUAUUUUAGCCCUUGAAGUGGGUCUAAUAGUCAGAGUUAACGUCCAAUUUGGACGGAAAAUGAGACAUUGGACAUGGUUGAGGAAAAUUGAAAAGCUUAGGGGGUAAAAAUUCAAAAUUGAGAAUACAGGGGGUGAAAUGAUGACACCCCCAAACCUCUGGGGGUAAACUGAAAUUAAUCCAAAAAAUAAUGUGUUGAGAGUAAUAAAUGUAAGGAUAUAAGGGGGAAAAUGAUUCCUUUGAAGUAUGGAAGGAACCAUUUUACCCUCUAUUUUCCUUUGCUUCAGGAAAGAAUUUCCUUUCCUUUUCCUUCCCAAACGCAAGAAAGGAAUAACUUUCCUUUCCUGAUGCUUACUUUCUGCAAACCAAACGAGGCCUUUAUGUAAUGAUUUUAUGCAAAUAGUUGUUUCUAAACUUUUUUUUUUUUAACUUCAGUGAGAACUUGUGAGUCGUCGAAAUAAUAACUAUGAAACAGCUGGAGUACGUUUGUUCAUACCACCUGCAUAAUACGC